rnacentral:rRNA from 1 species
UACGUAGGGGGCAAGCGUUACCCGGAUUCACUGGGCGUAAAGCGCGUGUAGGCGGCCGUGCAAGUCGGGUGUGAAAGCCCUCGGCUCAACCGAGGAAGUGCGCCCGAAACUGCAUGGCUUGAGUACCGGAGAGGAUGGCGGAAUUCCCCAAGUAGAGGUGAAAUUCGUAGAUAUGGGGAGGAACACCGGUGGCGAAGGCGGCCAUCUGGACGGAUACUGACGCUGAGACGCGAAAGCGUGGGGAGCAAACAGG